rnacentral:rRNA from 1 species
UGGGGAAUAUUGCACAAUGGGCGCAAGCCUGAUGCAGCCAUGCCGCGUGUAUGAAGAAGGCCUUCGGGUUGUAAAGUACUUUCAGCGGGGAGGAAGGCGAUAAGGUUAAUAACCUUGUCGAUUGACGUUACCCGCAGAAGAAGCACCGGCUAACUCCGUGCCAGCAGCCGCGGUAAUACGGAGGGUGCAAGCGUUAAUCGGAAUUACUGGGCGUAAAGCGCACGCAGGCGGUCUGUCAAGUCGGAUGUGAAAUCCCCGGGCUCAACCUGGGAACUGCAUUCGAAACUGGCAGGCUAGAGUCUUGUAGAGGGGGGCAGAAUUCCAGGUGUAGCGGUGAAAUGCGUAGAGAUCUGGAGGAAUACCGGUGGCGAAGGCGGCCCCCUGGACAAAGACUGACGCUCAGGUGCGAAAGCGUGGGGAGCAAACA